rnacentral:rRNA from 1 species
GUUUGAUCCUGGCUCAGAACGAACGCUGGCGGCGUGCCUAAGACAUGCAAGUCGUACGGAAAGGCCCUCUUCGGAGGGCACUCGAGUGGCGCACGGGUGAGUAACGCGUGGGUAAUCUGCCUUAGGGUCUAGGACAACCCCGGGAAACUGGGGCUAAUACUGGAUAAGACCACGAGCUCUUCGGAGCUUGCGGGAAAAGAUGGCCUCUCCUUGGAAGCUAUCGCCCUUCGAUGAGCCCGCGUCCCAUUAGCUAGUUGGUGAGGUGACGGCUCACCAAGGCUUUGAUGGGUAGCUGGUCUGAGAGGAUGAUCAGCCACACUGGAACUGAGACACGGUCCAGACUCCUACGGGAGGCAGCAGUCGGGAAUUUUGGGCAAUGGGCGAAAGCCUGACCCAGCAACGCCGCGUGAGGGAUGAAGGCCCUCGGGUCGUAAACCUCUGUCGGGAGGGAAGAACGGUUCACGUUCGAACAGGACGGGAGCCUGACGGUACCUCCAAAGGAAGCACCGGCUAACUCCGUGCCAGCAGCCGCGGUAA